GGGCGGAUAGCUCAGCUGGGAGAGCGCAGCCCUUACAAGGCUGAGGUCAGAGGUUCGAUCCCUCUUCCGCCCACCA
rnacentral:tRNA from 1 species